CCGUGCUACACGGGGAGUCAGCGGUGCCCUGUAACCCGCAAUCCGCUAUAGCGGGGUGGAAAGCCCGUACCUGAGGCCUGCCGAGGCAGCCGUGCGCCGGUGGAAGGCGUUGAAGGCCGGGUCCCGUGCAACGUGAAUCCGUGAACCAUGUCAGGUCCUGACGGAAGCAGCAUUAAGCGGGCGUUCGCGUGUGCCGCGGGGCAACCUGGCCCGAGCCGUUUCAUCGGAAUGCUGGCGGCCGGCCGGGGGACGAAGACGGGUGCACGG
rnacentral:SRP_RNA from 1 species